rnacentral:misc_RNA from 1 species
CGAACCGACCGCGCGCAAGGAUCUUGCGGAACUGGUGCAGCACGCGACCGACGUCGGACUUUAUUCCAAUCUAAUUACAUCGGCAGUACUGCUGACGAAGGACAAGCUGCGCGCGCUGGCCGAUGCCGGCUUUUGCCCUAUUCAGAUCAGCUUCCAGGGCAACGAGCCAGCGGUGGCGGAUCGUGUCGCCGGCAUGAAGGAUGCACACGCCAAGAAGAUCGAGGUGGCGCAUUGGGCGCGCGAACUCGAUCUGCCGCUCACCGUCAACGCUGUGAUGCAUCGGCAGAACCUGCACCAGCUUGCCGACAUCAUCCAGAUGGCGGUCGAUCUCGAUGCCGACCGGCUCGAAGUCGCCAACGUGCA